rnacentral:rRNA from 1 species
UUACUGGGCGUAAAGAGCUCGUAGGUGGUUUGUCACGUCGUCUGUGAAUUCCCGGGGCUUAACUUCGGGCGUGCAGGCGAUACGGGCAUAACUUGAGUGCUGUAGGGGAGACUGGAAUUCCUGGUGUAGCGGUGAAAUGCGCAGAUAUCAGGAGGAACACCAAUGGCGAAGGCAGGUCUCUGGGCAGUAACUGACGCUGAGGAGCGAAAGCAUGGGUAGCGAACAGGAUUAGAUACCCUGGUAGUCCAUGCCGUAAACGGUGGGCGCUAGGUGUAGGGGACUUCCACGUCUUCUGUGCCGCAGCUAACGCAUUAAGCGCCCCGCCUGGGGAGUACGGCCGCAAGGCUAAAACUCAAAGGAAUUGACGGGGACCCGCACAAGUAGCGGAGCAUGUGGUUUAAUUCGAAGCAACGCGAAGAACCUUACCUAAGCUUGACAUCCCAAUGACCUCUCCCUAAUCGGAGAUUUCCCUUCGGGGACAUUGGUGACAGGUGGUGCAUGGUUGUCGUCAGCUCGUGUCGUGAGAUGUUGGGUUAAGUCCCGCAACGAGCGCAACCCUUGCCUUUAGUUGCCAGCAUUAAGUUGGGCACUCUAGAGGGACUGCCAGGGAUAACCUGGAGGAAGGUGGGGAUGACGUCAAAUCAUCAUGCCCCUUAUGCUUAGGGCUACACACGUGCUACAAUGGGUGGUACAGAGGGCAGCCAAGUCGUGAGGCGGAGCUAAUCCCUUAAAGCCAUUCUCAGUUCGGAUUGUAGGCUGAAACUCGCCUACAUGAAGCUGGAGUUACUAG